GGGGAGAGUGAAGAGGAAGAGGAGGAGUCCAGCAAAACAUCCAAUUGGAACACAGUGCGGAAGGCUGUUACCGAGAUAGAUGCUACUGAUGUGCUUUCAGCAAUGGGUGCCAUCCCAC